UACGAGAGCCCCGAGCGUUAUCCGGAAUUAUUGGGCGUAAAGGGUGCGUAGGUGGUUGUGUUAGUCGUUUUGUCAAAAUCUCUGGGCUUAACCCAGAAACCGCGAACGAAACGGCACAACUUGAGAGUGUGAGGGGUGAAUGGAACUCAUGGUGUAGGGGUGAAAUCCGUUGAUAUCAUGGGGAACACCAAAAGCGAAGGCAAUUCACUGGCACAUAUCUGACACUCAAGCACGAAAGCGUGGGUAGCGAAUGGG
rnacentral:rRNA from 1 species